AGAGUUUGAUCCUGGCUCAGAACGAACGCUGGCGGCAGGCUUAACACAUGCAAGUCGAGCGGGUAGCAAUACCAGCGGCAGACGGGUGAGUAACACGUGGGAACCUUCCUAGAGGUACGGAACAACGCAGGGAAACUUGCGCUAAUACCGUAUGUGCUCUUGCGAGGAAAGAUUUAUCGCCUUUAGACGGGCCCGCGUCGGAUUAGCUAGUUGGUGGGGUAAUGGCCUACCAAGGCAACGAUCCGUAGCUGAUCUGAGAGGAUGAUCAGCCACACUGGAACUGAGACACGGUCCAGACUCCUACGGGAGGCAGCAGUGGGGAAUCUUGGACAAUGGGCGCAAGCCUGAUCCAGCCAUGCCGCGUGAGUGAAGAAGGCCUUCGGGUUGUAAAGCUCUUUUGUCAGGGACGAUAAUGACGGUACCUGAAGAAUAAGCCCCGGCAAACUUCGUGCCAGCAGCCGCGGUAAUACGAAGGGGGCUAGCGUUGUUCGGAUUUACUGGGCGUAAAGCGCACGUAGGUGGAUAGUUAAGUGAGGGGUGAAAUCCCGAGGCUCAACCUCGGAACUGCCUUUCAUACUGGCUAUCUUGAGUUCGGAAGAGGUGAGUGGAAUUCCUAGUGUAGAGGUGAAACUCGUAGAUAUUAGGAAGAACACCGGUGGCGAAGGCGGCUCACUGGUCCGAUACUGACACUGAGGUGCGAAAGCGUGAGGAGCAAACAGGAUUAGAUACCCUGGUAGUCC
rnacentral:rRNA from 1 species